rnacentral:rRNA from 1 species
UACAGAGGGUGCAAACGUUGCUCGGAAUUAUUGGGCGUAAAGCGCGCGCAGGCGGUUUGGAAAGUUGGGUGUGAAAGCCCUCGGCUCAACCGAGGAAGUGCAUUCAAAACUACCAAGCUUGAGUACCGGAGAGGAUCGCGGAAUUCCCGGUGUAGAGGUGAAAUUCGUAGAUAUCGGGAGGAACACCAGUGGCGAAGGCGGCGAUCUGGACGGAUACUGACGCUGAGGCGCGAAAGCGUGGGGAGCAAACAGG